rnacentral:rRNA from 1 species
UACGAAGGGGGCUAGCGUUGUUCGGAUUUACUGGGCGUAAAGCGCACGUAGGCGGACUGUUAAGUCAGGGGUGAAAUCCUGGAGCUCAACUCCAGAACUGCCUUUGAUACUGGCAAUCUUGAAUCCGGGAGAGGUGAGUGGAAUUCCGAGUGUAGAGGUGAAAUUCGUAGAUAUUCGGAAGAACACCAGUGGCGAAGGCGGCUCACUGGACCGGUAUUGACGCUGAGGUGCGAAAGCGUGGGGAGCAAACAGG